rnacentral:rRNA from 1 species
UACGGGGGGGGCAAGCGUUGUUCGGAAUUACUGGGCGUAAAGGGCUCGUAGGCGGUUUGUCGCGUCGGGAGUGAAAACAUCGGGCUUAACUCGAUGCUUGCUUUCGAUACGGGCAGACUUGAGGUAUGCAGGGGAGAAUGGAAUUCCUGGUGUAGCGGUGAAAUGCGCAGAUAUCAGGAGGAACACCGGUGGCGAAGGCGACUACCUGGCCUGUUCUUGACGCUGAGGCGCGAAAGCUAGGGGAGCAAACGGG